UACCUGGUUGAUCCUGCCAGUAGCAUAUGCUUGUCUCAAAGAUUAAGCCAUGCAUGUCUAAGUACAAGCCGCUAGACGGCGAAACCGCGAAUGGCUCAAUAAAUCAGUUAUGGUUCCUUAGAUCCACUCCAUCCUACUUGGAUAACUGUGGUAAUUCUAGAGCUAAUACAUGCACUCGAGCCUCGACUGCGGGCUUUCGGGCUCGCAGAAGAGGUGCUUUUAUUAGAUCAAAACCAGUCGGGGCCGGGCUUUCGGGCUCGCGCACCGUACCAAUUUUGGUGACUCUGGAUAACUUCACGCCGAUCGCACGGCCUUCGCGCCGGCGACGUAUCUUUCAAAUGUCUGCCUUAUCAACUGUCGAUGGUAGGUUACGCGCCUACCAUGGUUGCAACGGGUAACGGGGAAUCGGGGUUCGAUUCCGGAGAGGGAGCCUGAGAAACGGCUACCACAUCCAAGGAAGGCAGCAGGCGCGCAAAUUACCCACUCCCGGCACGGGGAGGUAGUGACGAAAAAUAACGAUACGGGACUCUUCCGAGGCCCCGUGAUUGGAAUGAGUACACUUUAAAUCCUUUAACGAGGAACCAUUGGAGGGCAAGUCUGGUGCCAGCAGCCGCGGUAACUCCAGCUCCAAUAGCGUAUAUUAAAGUUGUUGCGGUUAAAAGCUCGUAGUCGGAUGUCUGUCUUCGGCCGGGCGGCGCCGCUCUGAAUCAAGGGUGUUGCGUUUCACGCUCUGGGAGCCCGGGUGUCAAAGCCCGACUCUCUUCACGGUCGGACAACAUCGCCGGAGUGGUGGUCGGUGCGUCGUUGUUGUAUCUGCGGCCAGAGUUGGAAAGUUCUUUCGGGUUCUUUUUUAAUUUUGGUCGUAGUUGACUCGAUUCGCUCCACCCAGUCAAUCGUUCGGGGUGCCCUUCACCGGGUGUCUCGGGCGGCCGGCAACGUUUACUUUGAACAAAUUAGAGUGCUCAAAGCAGGUGUAUCCCAACGCCUGAAUAUCGCAGCAUGGAAUGAUGGAAUAGGACCUCGGUCCGAUUUUGCUGGUCUUUUACUUUUGGACCCGAGGUAAUGGUCAAUAGAGACGGACGGGGGCAUUCGUACUGCGGCGACAGAGGUGAAAUUCUUGGACCGCCGCAAGACGAACAACAGCGAAGGCAUUUGCCAAGAAUGUUUUCCUUGAUCAAGAACGAAAGUUAGAGGUUCGAAGGCGAUCAGAUACCGCCCUAGUUCUAACCAUAAACGAUGCCAACCAGCAAUCCGUCGGAGUUACUCCAAUGACUCGACGGGCAGCUUCCGGGAAACCAAAGUCUUUGGGUUCCGGGGGAAGUAUGGUUGCAAAGCUGAAACUUAAAGGAAUUGACGGAAGGGCACCACCAGGAGUGGAGCCUGCGGCUUAAUUUGACUCAACACGGGAAACCUCACCAGGCCCGGACACUGGAAGGAUUGACAGAUUGAGAGCUCUUUCUUGAUUCGGUGGGUGGUGGUGCAUGGC
rnacentral:ncRNA from 1 species